AAAGGAGCUUUGGCACUGGCGGUGCUUUCUGCUGCACACAGGCUGCUUAUUCAGGAGCUGAUCCAGUAAAACUGGAGCACAGAGAAUGCUACCUGGACUUGGAGAGAGGAUGAUGGCCACCUCUGAGACCUGCUUGGGCAUGGCUGAUGCUGACCUGAUUCCUUGGUCUCCCUCCUGACAGCCUCUGUUUCAGCCUCUUUCCUCUGCUCACAUGAGCUGGAGGCUGAGAUGAAGGAGAAAGGAGGAGUUGGGGAGAGAAGAAAGAUGACAAAUGGGUGAAAUGGUAACUUAUGCCUCUGGAGCAGAGGCACAGGGGCAGCUCUGAGGUCUGCGAGUUGGGAAAACAAGGAAGAAGCUGAACCU